CGGUAAUUCCAGCUCCAAUAGCGUAUACUAAAGUUGUUGCAGUUAAAAAGCUCGUAGUUGGAUUUCUGCGGGGACGGAGCGGCCGGACGCAACUUGCGUCUCGAGCUAGCGCUUUCCCCGCAUCCUGCCGCGAACCGUGCUACCAUUAGCUUGGUGGCGCUGGGGAUCGGCUCGAUUACUUUGAGAAAAAUAGAGUGUUCAAAGCAGGCCACACGCCUUGAAUAAGUUAGCAUGGAAUAAUGACUAAGGACUUCGGUUCUAUUUUGUUGGUGUUCGGGACUGAAGUAAUGAUUGAUAGGGACAGUUGGGGCGGUCUGUAUUCCAAAGCGAGAGGUGAAAUUCUUAGACCUUCGGAAGACAAACAGCUGCGAAAGCGUUCCGCAAGGAUGUUCCCUUUGAUCAAGAACGAAAGUUGGGGGAUCGAAGACGAUCAGAUACCGUCGUAGUCUCAACUAUAAACUAUACCAGCUAGGGAUCGGUCAACGUUUAAUCAUUCGACUUGAUCGGCACCUUAUGAGAAAUCAAAGUAUCUGGGUUCCGGGGGGAGUAUGGUCGCAAGGCUGAAACUUAAAGGAAUUGACGGAAGGGCACCACCAGCCGUGGAGCCUGCGGCUUAAUUUGACUCAACACGGGAAAACUUACCAGGUCCAGACAUAGUAAGGAUUGGCAGAUUGAUAGCUCUUUCUUGAUUCUGUGGGUGGUGGUGCAUGGCCGUUCUUAGUUGGUGGAGUGAUUUGUCUGGUUAAUUCCGUUAACGAACGAGACCCCAGCCUGCUAAACAGCGCGGCUGAGCUUUGCUCGGUGCGAGCUUCUUAGAGGGACUAUGAUGCGCGAUAGCACAUGGAAGUUUGGGGCAAUAACAGGUCUGUGAUGCCCUUAGAUGUUCUGGGCCGCACACGGGCUACACUGGCGCCUGCAACGAGCAUAUCAGCUGGCCCGAGAGGGUCUUGGCUAAUCUUUUGAACCGGCGCCGUGCUUGGGAUUGACCAUCGCAAUUGUUGGUCAUGCAACGAGGAAUGCCUUGUAAACGCGAGUCAUCAGCUCGCAUUGAAUACGUCCCUGCCCUUUGUACACACCGCCCGUCGCUCCUACCGAUGAAUGUUCCGAUGAAAUUUUCGGAGAGCGCCAGAGAACGGGGCUCCGCCUUGCAGAUCUGGAGGCUCAAAGUCACUUAAAUCUGAACAUUUCGAGGAAGGAGAAGUCGUAACAAGGUAGCCG
rnacentral:rRNA from 1 species